AUUGAACGCUGGCGGCAGGCUUAACACAUGCAAGUCGAGCGGGGAAGGGUAGCUUGCUACCUAACCUAGCGGCGGACGGGUGAGUAAUGCUUAGGAAUCUGCCAUUUAGUGGGGGACAACAUUCCGAAAGGAAUGCUAAUACCGCAUACGUCCUACGGGAGAAAGCAGGGGAUCUUCGGACCUUGCGCUAAAUGAUGAGCCUAAGUCGGAUUAGCUAGUUGGUGGGGUAAGGGCCUACCAAGGCGACGAUCUGUAGCGGGUCUGAGAGGAUGAUCCGCCACACUGGGACUGAGAUACGGCCCAGACUCCUCCGGGAGGCAGCAGUGGGGAAUAUUGGACAAUGGGCGGAAGCCUGAUCCAGCCAUGCCGCGUGAGUGAAGAAGGCCUUCGGGUUGUAAAGCUCUUUCGGCAGGAACGAAACGGCGAGCUCUAACAUAGCUUGCUAAUGACGGUACCUGAAGAAGAAGCACCGGCUAACUACGUGCCAGCCGCCGCCGCGGUAA
rnacentral:rRNA from 1 species